UUCCUCUUCAGCCGCUCACCCCAACUCCAAUGAAAAAACUCUUUGGACUCUUUCAGAACCUAGAACGGAGCCAAAAAGAGCUCAAGUCCAAGGACAAUCAAGCAAAACGUGCAGUGUGUGAGAGGGCUAAAUUAUAAAUGGGUAUGAAAAUAUAAAAAAUAAAUAUGGGGCUGCUUGAACUAGAGGAACUGAUUUAUUUAUUGCUUAAAAAUAUAGUGACUAAGUUAUAAUUUACUCGAACUAUAAGAUUGACAAAGCAGCUAAGCGAAACAAGAAACAGAAAUUGAAUUGGCAGCUCGAAAAUCUUUGAUGAACAAGAAAAGAAAUGAUAACAAGGUCGAAACUGGUGGAGCGACUGAGAGAGGGAGGGAGUGCCAGAUCCGAUCUCAACACAAGCGUUCUUCUCUCACCAUCUUUUCUCCUAAACCCCCAUCUCUUCCUGGGCUUUGGGGCAAGCCACUAGAUAAAUACUAGGCAAAAGUUUUUCCAGUUACAUGCUGUGAUAAAAAAUUGUUGAGCCAUGCAACUCCAGCCCAAACAGAAUUAAAAUGAAACAAACCCUGAUAAUCAUUGGCUGCGUAAGAGGCAACCGGAUUCUUCUUCAGGGGCUGAUGUCACUGUAGCAAUCCUUUGGGCCUUAACAUUAAGCAUGCUUGUCAUAUCAUCUUAGAAGGCACUUUAUUUCCGACAUUUCUGGCUUGUGUUUCUCAUAAUAUGUCUUGCAAUUUUUCUUCCCGUACAUCUGAGAAGUUCAAGGGCCCAGAAUAGGGAGAGAAGAUUGUUAUUGCCUUUGUCCAUGUGAACAUGCUGUGGCAUUGAAGCAUUUCAACCAUAGAGCUUUGUAAUUGGAACUUAUCGUUCACAUUUGAUUCUGUGGCUUAUUGGAAAAAAUUAUAAAAGUCAGAGCACUGAUCUUGGUCAGCCUGGAUUUGUCCUGUGCCCUGUCCUUUUGUUUAUCCUUCAUAACCAUACACAGAAGCUAUGAGAUUUUUCAUAACACUUUUUUUUUAAAGAAUGUGAAACUCUAUACAUCUGAGCAAAGUUUAGGAGCAGUUGCCUGUUAAUCUUUUGAGUACUUACAUUGUAAACUUAGUCCUGUUCGAAAAAACUAUCACAGCAUGCUGUCAAGAUUACUGUGUUGUAAUAAGCUAUUUACAUGAAAUAGAAAAAGUUAUAAUAGACUGUCUCUCUCUCUCUCUCUCUCACUCUCUCUCUUGCUCGUUACAAGAUUGUCAUUAAGCUUGAAUCUAGAAUACUCCAAGGCUGUUCCUGGCUUUAUUAUUUAAGCCAAAGUCCUAGCCUUUCAAAUGAACUGGAGGGAGGAACUGGCAUUGGGUACUUGUAGCUAUGGGUGCAAGUUGGUGCUGGGACCCAAACUGAUCUGAAUUGGACUGACCGCAACUUGGUUCUUCAGUUUGGGUCUGGAUUGGUAUUUUCUAAGCUUGUGUCGGUUCUUGGGUAGGCAUAUUGGGCAAUCCUACCUUUAUCUUAAAUUAACGCCAUGUGUUUAAUUGAUAUCAGAUUGAACCUUAUGAUAAUGAGUUUGGCACACUGGAUACCUGUUGUGGACAUCUUAUGCGACAACUCAUGUUACUUGUCCAUGAAUCCCCUCCCCCACUUCUCAUGCUCAUUUCAAGAUUGUGGCAGGUCUCAACAGCCAAAUAGGACCACUAUUAAUUGUCUUUCCCUCCUAUUUUCUCUAUCAUGUACUCUCCUCCUCUCGAGAUGAUUAUCACUUUUUUUUUAUAUUGGUUUUUAUGUCAAGACUGUGGAAUGAAACUGGUAGAUUAAUAUAAGAAUCUGGAAACUUUAGCAUCUGCAGGGAAAUUGUUAAAAGAAUGGUUGAUGAUACUCAAAAGUUUUUUAUUGCUUUUGAGUCAAUGGAUUGUAAAAGGAGGGAAUUGUUGGAUUAGGAAGGAAAUAGAACUUUGAACUGAUUAAUACCAAUUUAAUCUGGGUUCAUAUUGUUACAGACAAGAGCUUGUUUCAGUUCUGUCCAUUUUAUUGGAGGUUUUAGUGCGGUUUAUUUGUCCAAAAACCUCUGGCAGAUGUUACCUGCAACCUCAGGAUGGGAUCCAAUAAAAAAAAAA